GGAGAGUGGAGCUGGACAGAAUUGAGCUUCCCUUUCACUUGCUGAGAAACCUGCUGAGAUGUCAGCUUCCAUGUCGUGAGCUACUCUGUGAAGAGGCUACAUGGUAAGGAACUGAGAGAAGCUACCAGCAGACAACUCCCCCAGGAACUGACAUCUGCCAACAAUCACGUGAGUGAAUGGAUCCUUCAGUUCCAGUCCAACCUUCAGUUGACUGCAGCCUUGACCAACACUUUGACUGUAACUUCAUGGAAGACCUUGGCAAGAACCGUGUAGUCAAGCUACUCUCAUAUGCAGAA
rnacentral:lncRNA from 1 species